rnacentral:tRNA from 1 species
GCCGAUGUGGUGGAAUUGGUAGACACGCUAUCUUGAGGGGGUAGUGGGUGAAAACCCGUGGGAGUUCGAGUCUCCCCAUCGGCACCA